GGAUGGGUGGCCGAGUGGUUUAAGGCAGCGGUCUUGAAAACCGCCGUAGGGGCAACUCUACCGUGGGUUCGAAUCCCACCCCAUCCGCCA
rnacentral:tRNA from 1 species